rnacentral:rRNA from 1 species
GCCUUUCUCUUUGGGAUAAGCGCUGGAAACGGUGUCUAAUACCAGAUAUUCAUGCUUUGCCGCAUGGUGGGGUGUGGAAAGGCUGGAGGAAGAUGGGCUCGCGGCCUAUCAGCUUGUUGGUGGGGUGAUGGCCUACCAAGGCUUUGACGGGUAACCGGCCUGAGAGGGUGACCGGUCACACUGGGACUGAGAUACGGCCCAGACUCCUACGGGAGGCAGCAGUGGGGAAUAUUGCACAAUGGGCGAAAGCCUGAUGCAGCGACGCCGCGUGGGGGAUGACGGCCUUCGGGUUGUAAACCUCUUUCGGUAAGGAUGUAGGGCACUCUUUGGGGUGUUUGACUUUACUUGCUAAAGAAGCGCCGGCUAACUACGUGCCAGCAGCCGCGGUAAUACGUAGGGCGCAAGCGUUGUCCGGAUUUAUUGGGCGUAAAGGGCUCGUAGGCGGCGCGUCUGUCGUGAAAUCCAGUGGCUUAACUGCUGGUUUGCGGUGGGUACGGGCAGGCUUGAGUGCGGUAGGGGAGAUUGGAAUUCUUGGUGUAGCGGUGAAAUGCGCAGAUAUCAGGAAGAACACCGGUGGCGAAGGCUGGUCUCUGGGCCGUUACUGACGCUGAUGAGCGAAAGCGUGGGGAGCGAACAGGAUUAGAUACCCUGGUAGUCCACGCUGUAAACGUUGGGCACUGGGUGUGGGGGCCUUUGUGGUUUCUGUGCCGUAGCUAACGCGUUAAGUGCCCCGCCUGGGGAGUACGGCCGCAAGGCUAAAACUCAAAGGAAUUGACGGGGACCCGCACAAGCGGCGGAGCAUGCGGAUUAAUUCGAUGCAACGCGAAGAACCUUACCAAGGCUUGACAUGCGCUUUUGCUGCCAGAGAUGGUGGUGGCCUUUUUGGCGGGGCGUGCAGGUGGUGCAUGGUUGUCGUCAGCUCGUGUCGUGAGAUGUUGGGUUAAGUCCCGCAACGAGCGCAACCCUUGUCUCGUGUUGCCAGCGCG